GGUCUGGUGCCCGAGGAGCUAGGGAGCGGUCUGCAAAACCGCGUACACGGGUGCAAGUCCCGUCCAGACCU
rnacentral:tRNA from 1 species